rnacentral:rRNA from 1 species
GUUCCCUACGGGCGCAGCAGUAGGGAAUCUUCCACAAUGGACGAAAGUCUGAUGGAGCAACGCCGCGUGAGUGAAGAAGGGUUUCGGCUCGUAAAACUCUGUUGGUAGUGAAGAAAGAUAGAGGUAGUAACUGGCCUUUAUUUGACGGUAAUUACUUAGAAAGUCACGGCUAACUACGUUCCAGCAGCCGCGGUAAUACGUAGGUGGCAAGCGUUGUCCGGAUUUUUUGGGCGUAAAGCGAGUGCAGGCGGUUCAAU